rnacentral:rRNA from 1 species
UACGGGGGGAGCAAGCGUUGUUCGGAUUUACUGGGCGUAAAGGGCGCGUAGGCGGCCACGACAAGUCAGUUGUGAAAUCUCUGGGCUUAACUCAGAACGGUCAACUGAUACUGUCGGACUAGAGUACAGAAGGGGCAACUGGAAUUCUCGGUGUAGCGGUGAAAUGCGUAGAUAUCGAGAGGAACACCUGCGGCGAAGGCGGGUUGCUGGGCUGAUACUGACGCUGAGGCGCGAAAGCCAGGGGAGCGAACGGG